AUAGCCGCUGAACUUAAGCAUAUCAAUAAGCCGGAGGAA
rnacentral:rRNA from 1 species